AGAGUUUGAUCCUGGCUCAGAAUCAACGCUGGCGGCGUGCCUCAGACAUGCAAGUCGAACGAUUAAAGCUCUCUUCGGAGAGUACAUAGAGUGGCGCACGGGUGAGUAACACGUAAGUAAUCUACCUUCGAGUGGGGAAUACCGUCCGGAAACGGACGCUAAUACCGCAUAAUGCAGCGGCAUCGCAAGAUGACAGUUGUUAAAGAUUUAUCGCUUGAAGAGGAGCUUGCGGCAGAUUAGCUAGUUGGUAAGGUAAUGGCUUACCAAGGCUACGAUCUGUAACCGGUCUAAGAGGACGGUCGGUCACACUGACACUGAAUAACGGGUCAGACUCCUACGGGAGGCAGCAGUCGGGAAUUUUGGGCAAUGGGCGAAAGCCUGACCCAGCAACGCCGCGUGAAGGAUGAAGUAUUUCGGUAUGUAAACUUCGAAAGAAUGGGAAGAAUCAAUGACGGUACCAUUUAUAAGGUCCGGCUAACUACGUGCCAGCAGCCGCGGUAAUACGUAGGGACCAAGCGUUGUUCGGAUUUACUGGGCGUAAAGGGCGCGUAGGCGGCUUGACAAGUCACUUGUGAAAUCUCCGGGCUUAACUCGGAACGGCCAAGUGAAACUGUCAUGCUAGAGUGCAGAAGGGGCAAUCGGAAUUCUUGGUGUAGCGGUGAAAUGCGUAGAUAUCAAGAGGAACACCUGAGGUGAAGACGGGUUGCUGGGCUGACACUGACGCUGAGGCGCGAAAGCCAGGGGAGCAAACGGGAUUAGAUACCCCGGUAGUCC
rnacentral:rRNA from 1 species